CGACCUCAAGCAGCUUAAACUCCUUAAAUUUAAGAUUGACAUCUAUGAAACAUUUGUAUAAAACAUUUAAACGGUGUUGAGAAUAUUUUGUUGAAGGGGGGUCUCUAGUCUCUAAUUAAUGUCAACCAAUUUAUAUUUAGCGUCAGGUGUAAGUCGAGUUGACAUAUUUUCCAUGGAAGGCAGAUAUGCGCCAUCAAUGCAUCCAGUUCAUGAUAACACAAUUAAGUUAAUGAGCACCACAAAAGCCCAUAGACCUUAAAUUAACAAAAGAAUGCUUUAUAAGAGGACCUGUGUUAAGUCUGAUUAAAACCCAGUGGCGGAUCCAGAAAAUUUCAUGAGGGUCUCACUGACUGCCGAAGAGGGGCCUAUAAUCAACCAAUUUUUUCCACAAAAAACGGAGGAGACUAAAUUCUACACCAACUUUCUACUUGCGUUUGGAUACUGGGAUGGGGUGGAGCUGGGUUUAAUCAGACAGACCUGUUUGCCAUGUGUGACAUGACGAUAUCAGGUAACUUUGAAUGUUAAUUACAGCUUAACUGGUCAAUUGUCUGUCUAAUUGAAGUCAGGGUAGUUAGAUUUGUAUUAGAAGUUUAUAUUCCUUGUCAAACGUCAGUGGCGGAUCUAGAAAUUUUCACAAGUUGGGGCUCACUAACUGCCUAAGAGGGGGCCCGCUCCAGUC
rnacentral:lncRNA from 1 species